GACGAACGCUGGCGGCGUGCUUAACACAUGCAAGUCGAACGGAAAGGCCCUGCUUUUGUGGGGUGCUCGAGUGGCGAACGGGUGAGUAACACGUGAGUAACCUGCCCUUGACUUUGGGAUAACUUCAGGAAACUGGGGCUAAUACCGGAUAGGAGCUCCUGCUGCAUGGUGGGGGUUGGAAAGUUUCGGCGGUUGGGGAUGGACUCGCGGCUUAUCAGCUUGUUGGUGGGGUAGUGGCUUACCAAGGCUUUGACGGGUAGCCGGCCUGAGAGGGUGACCGGCCACAUUGGGACUGAGAUACGGCCCAGACUCCUACGGGAGGCAGCAGGGGGGAAUAUUGCACAAUGGGCGGAAGCCUGAUGCAGCAACGCCGCGUGCGGGAGGACGGCCUUCGGGUGGUAAACCGCUUUCGCCUGUGACGAAGCGUGAGGGACGGUAAUGGGUAAAGAAGCACCGGCUAACUACGU
rnacentral:rRNA from 1 species